ensembl:lncRNA
UGGUUGGCUGGCAAGUUACACCAUUACAUUUUUCAAGAUCUAAUAGUGCACGUUUCAGCAUGGCACGGGCCGUGGCGAUACGUUGGCACAUGAGAAUGAUUACAAUAUGGCAAAUAUUAGUAAAUUAUUGCAUUCUGUUCAUGCUGGCUUUCACAGGCUACCUGAGACAUGAAACCGAUAGGUGGGAGGACAGACAGGCUACCUGAGACAUAAAACCGAUAGGUGGGAGGACAGACAGGCUACCUGAGACAUAAAACCGAUAGGUGGGAGGACAGACAGGCUACCUGAGACAUGAAACCGAUAGGUGGGAGGGCACACAUUAAUUAAUGCGCAUUUUAUUUUAGGUGUGAUGUCAUUACGCAAAGCUAUUUUUAUUGAGACAAGAUAGUUAAUUGGAAACGCACCCUAGCAGGCAAUUGUCGAAUAAAUUUUCUAUGCAAACUUUCUAAAUGUUGACAACAACAAAAAUCGCUGGACAAGUUAAUAGAAACAUAAGCUAGGUUUCCAUCAAAUUGGCGACAGAUUUUAAUGUGAAUAUUGUAAUAUCUGGGAGGCCCCUAAAAAGUAAUACACUUUGAUAAUGUGGAUUGGAAGCUAUUAAAAAUUAUAAUUAUGGGCCUCCUGAGUGGUGCAGCGGUCUGCAUUACUACAGAUCCCGGUUUGAUUCCGAGUUGUGUUGCAGGAGGCCGCGACCGGGAGACCCAUGAGGUGACACACAAUUUGCCCAGUGUCUUCCAGGGUAGGGGAGGGUAUGUCCGGCCGGGAUGUCCUUGUCCCAUCGCUCUUUAGCGACUCCUGUGGCGGGCCGGGCGCAUACACACUGACACGGUCUCCAGGUGUACGGUGUUACGUUCCGACACAUUGGUGCGUCUGGCAUCCGGGUUAAGCGUGCAUUGUGUCAAGAAGCGGUGCAGCUUGGCGGGGUUGUGUUUCGGAGGACACACGGCUCUCGACCUUCACCUCCUCCGAGUCUGUAUGGGAUUUGCAGCGAUGGGACAAGACAGUUCCCUGUGUGUUAUGAUAAAGACACUAGUCUGUACUGCAGGUCCCUGUGUGAUAUGAUAAAGACACUAGUCUGUACUGCAGGUCCCUGUGUGAUAUGAUAAAGACUAGUCUGUACUGCAGGUCUCUGUGUG